CUAACCUCAUUCUCGCCUCCGUCGCACCCAAAAGUCUCGCCGACCUUCUCUCAUCUUCUCUUUGUCGCACCCAAUUUGAAAAAGAGACUUCUCUCCGUCGCACCCAACGAUCUCUGGCCUUCCCGAUCUCGACGACCAACGACCAACGUACUUGGUGUGCUAAAUGUAAUUUGCAUCUUAUCUUCAAUACCAGAUGAUCUUGAAGAUACAGUCUCAUCAGAAGACGAAAAUGAUCUAGAAAUGAGUUUGCUAGUCGACCUUCUGUGCAAAGGCUACAAAAUGAAAGCUGAAGAUUGGAGAAGAGGAUCACUUGAAGUUGUAGUUGUGAUGGAAGAAGUUACUAUGAAAUCUUAUUUGUUCUUUAACAAGGAGGCAGUGAGACCAUCUUCUUUAGGCGAGUCAGUUAUGGAGAAGCUUGACAAGCUACACAAGCUAGUUGAAGAUGAGUUCAAAUCAACAAAUAAACGCUUAUCAAAUCCUUCCUCUAGAAAUUUAGGAAGGAUUUCUCGAAUUUCAGGAAGGCCUUCAUUAGAAAAAAGUAUACACACACCCUCACAAGGAAUUGAACCCAAGGCAUUGGUUUUUGUACUAGAGCAGGUAACCAAUAAGCCAAGCUAUUCAUUCAAAGAUAGCAUAGAAAUAAAUGUAUAUAAACAUGAAAUAAUUUAGGAAGAACUCUUUGAGAUUUCGGUAGACCUUCUUAAAAUUGGGACAUUGAUGAGUUUGUGAUA